GACCUGGCUGUCCCGAGAAUGUUGCGUCCCUUGAAACUUUCUCACAUGAAUUAGUAUUCUCAGGUCUCAGUUUGCAGAGGUCGGGAUUAUGUGCCAGGUGCUGUCACCUCUUGUAAAAACACUUGCUUCUUCAGCCCUUCCCCUUAGACUCUGUCACCUACUUCACCCCGUUUGGAGAUAAUCUGCCGAUCUGUGUAUCCAGCUCCUUGUCUGUCUCCCGUCUGACCAUCUUUGAUAAUUUCAGAGCCUAUGUGGCCAACCCAUUCAACAUCGGGCCUCGUCUUUAGCGACCCUUAUAUCAGCCUCCCAAUCCCAG
rnacentral:lncRNA from 1 species